UGGAGUUUCAGAUCAAUCAUCCAGGGACAUUGAAUCCUACCGUAGCAUUUAAAUUCAAGAGAUUAAAUUAACCUGGGAUUCUUAAAAAGGUGGUCUUUGUUAAAACAACCAUGAAACUACCAGACUGCUGUAAAAACCUAUUUGAUUUACUAAUGUUCUUCUUACUGGUCUGGCCUGUAUGUGACUCACAACCCAUUAAUACGAUUGACUUUUACCUCACUCCUCAGUUCUAGGGGAAGUGGUGAUAAAAAAUAAAUACUGUUAUUGCCAGUGAUAGCUUCAUGCUGUGAACAAAUAAAUGAGUUCUUUGCCAUUUGAAUUAGAAUAAACACCCUUGUUGGAGAUCUUCCAUGCUAAAACUGUUAUUACAAGUUGAACUUACUCCAGCUGCAUCAAGGUCCACCUGCAGAUACGUUAUAAUUGGCAAAGAGGAUCGGAAAUCUAAUAAAAAGGUGCUUUUGAGUAUCUGAGACAUUCACAAAUAUUCAAAUUCUUUGAAUGUUCUGACAGCCAAUAAGCCUGGACACUUUGCUACCAAAGCAUUUUGGUGAGCAGACCUUGAUAUUUAUGCUCUGUGAUGCCUCGUCAAUCAGCACAACAACAACAUCAAGAUGCAGCUGAAAGGUCUGCUGCAGCAACCCUAGAAGAACUACGAUCCAAGAUUACUCAGAAAGAAGAAACAUAUCCAUUAAAGUAUUUAAAAUUACCCAACUAUCUAACAAUAAGCAGGUUUCUUUCCAAUUAACUUUGAAGUUAGCAUAUGAAUGAAUGCUUGCA